rnacentral:rRNA from 1 species
UACAGAGGGGGCAAGCGUUGUUCGGAAUUACUGGGCGUAAAGGGCGCGUAGGCGGCCUUCUAAGUCGAACGUGAAAUCCCCGGGCUCAACCCGGGAACUGCGUCCGAUACUGGAAGGCUUGAAUCCGGGAGAGGGAUGCGGAAUUCCAGGUGUAGCGGUGAAAUGCGUAGAUAUCCGGAGGAACACCAGCGGCGAAGGCGGCUUUCUGGUCCGAUACUGACGCUGAGGUGCGAAAGCGUGGGGAGCGAUCCGG